rnacentral:lncRNA from 1 species
UCUCUUUCACUGUAAUAAUUUUGCAACAGCAGUUUUAAUAGUCUCUAGUGAAGAACUGAUGACUUGGACAGAACAAAGGCCUCCCAGGAUACAAGAGCACUGAGCUGGGUGGCAGGAUGCCAACAGCACCCCCAGGGCUGGCCACUUUGUCUAGAUUGUUAAACAGAGAUAAAACCACAGAUACAGGGAGCAGGACCAGGUGAUUGUUACACUUUUAUAACUCCUUGACUUUUCAUACUACUAAAAUCUCUCCUGAUAAAUUCUCUGCCUGCCAUUUAAGACUAUUUCUGGUCUGGCCUAUCCCAACUCUUCCAACUUUAUGUCUUCCUGGUCCCCAGGCCCAUUCUCUGCCUGAUUCCAGGAUAAUGCUACACUGUCCAUAUACCACAUUUUCUUUUCUUGGCCUUUGCCUGGCUUGUGUCCCUCACUCAACUGUCCCUUCCUCUCCCUUGACCUCUCAGAUUCUACCACUCCCGCUAAGCCAGGGCCAACUGUUUUCUCCAGAAACACUCUGCCUCCUCCAGUUCUCAGUGACCAAUUAUCUGGAUGCCCACAGAAGCUUACUGUAGUGUCCUAUAUUUUCUAGCAAUUUUUUCACUUUAAACAUAGAAACAAGGACCUUAAUAAUUAAUAGUACAAGAAUGCUGUCAUAUAGUUUGUAAAAGAUUAUCAUAUCGAUUACAUCUUUGGAGCAUCACAACAGUCUCAUGAGGUGGGUAAUGGUUGUUAUCUCUGGAGAGUUCAGAAAACCAAAGUUCAAAGAGGGAGGUUUUUUGUGCUUGCUUAUGGUAAAACUACCAGCAAGUGGCAGCAUUAAAAGACCGUACCACUGGUAAAAGGCAUAGGGGGUUCCCUAAAACUCGAAACAGAGGAGUUUAAUGAAUGGCUGUCUUUGUUGUCUAGACCCGAGGGAGGGACAAGACAGUGGACUUUAAAGAACAGCUGCACGUGGAGCUGUGACUGUCAUCCACACACUCAGAUAAAUGGUUGGCUCAUUAUUGCAGCUGCUGCUGGCUUUAGGGAGCUGGACAGCUGUUGCCAGGAGAUGGAUUCAAACAGAACAGAGAAAACGGAAUCCUGUGAUAAUGACUGUGCCUGUAUGUAUGGACACGAUGUUCUUUCUUCUCAUAGCUCAAAAUGUUCUAAAGAUAAAAUCUAAUGAUUUCUUAUAGGAAGGCUAGGCUUGGUGGGUACAAGUAAGAAAGCCAAGCAGAGAGAAGCUUCCUGGUCCUUCUCCACCUUUCCCUUUCCUCCAGUCUGGACUUUGCCUUCUCCACCUCCUUGGAAGACAGGCUGCUCAUCCCAUUGUGGUGUCUCGGCUGGUGUAUGUUUUCUGCCUAGGCUUAAUGGACAGCACGAGGAGGUAGGGACUGACGUUACCCAUGUUUUACAGUGGAAGAACCUGAGGCUUAAAGAGGAAUCAUCUUUUAGAAAACAUGAAAUACAGGGAAUGAUACAAUAUUAUGUCUACGAUUUGCUUCAAAAUGAUGUGUGGAUAGGGGAAUAGAUGAAACAAGAUGAGCCAAGAUAAUGGUUUAAGAUUAGUGAUGGGUUACUUUUGUGUUGAUUUAAAUUUUCUGUAAUAAAAAAUUAAGAUUUUAAUGUUAAUUACAAAGUAAUCCAUAUUCACAUUUCAUUGCUAUUAUAGUCAGAUUCUGAAAAUAUCUUUAAAUAAUAAUUAAUCAUAUUAAGAUUUACAUCUAGAAGACUUCAAUAAUUUUUCUCACAUGAUGGUCAACCCAAUACGCGUACUUCCAAAGAAGAUGCUAUCAUACAGUUUUGGCUUGAAUUUUAAUGUUUGCAUUUUUUUCUCAUCUUGCCUUCCCUGUACAAUGAAACUCUCGUAUUGUGGGAAACUGCGGAGAAGUCAGCUGUCAGUGUCCUCCUAGGAAAUCAAAUGUUUGUGCAGAAUGAUUACAUCAUUUUGCUGAUGCACAAAUAAUUUGCUGUGACUUUCCUCUGGUUUAUGAAUUUAACCCCGCUGGGUAGCUUGUAGUCUGGCCUUAUAGCCUAGUUCAUUCUUUCUUGUAAUACGCCAUUCUUUUUUGUCAUGUAUCAUUCUCUAUCAGGGACUACUGAGUAUGGUGGGGAGAAAAGGCUACUUACUUGUAGUUUCUAGAGACUGACAGAAUAAAUACCAUUUCUUGCUUUGAUUAAUCACUUCCACGCCACAUUACAUAAUAACUACCACUGUCAGAUGUUGCCCAAGGCAGACAAGGUUCAAAAAGUCAAAGUACUAUGUUGAAAAAUAUCACUUUUCAGGACGCUGGCCCCGUGAUUUUAGAGAGACAGUUUUGUGACAGUGUUGCUUCGACCUUACCCCUAGGUAAAAAAUAGCCUUUCAUAAUACAGUUAUUUCAACUUCUUGUACUAUUUGCCACUUCAAAUUUUUUCAAAGAACCAGCACAGAAUUUCCUAUAAGGCUGUUGCAAUUUUUCCCACUCUAUGUCUCUACCAUGUGGGGUGGAGGUGGUAUUGGAGGACUACUAAUUUGUGCUUUUCAUGCGAAUACCUAAAAGAUAGCAGUGGAUUAGGAGGAAGCAGGGCCUAGUAACUGAAGAGUACAGAAAUAUAAAAAUGACUAACAGGCAAUACUGAACUGACACAAAAUGCCUAAGAACACCAUAAUUACUGCAGCAAUAAAGAAACAGGAAUGGAGCAAUUUUCUUAAGAAGAGAUGGACAUCUCUUUUUUUGUUUUAUGCUGGUUCUUUAACACUCUAAGAUUGAGGACCAUGAAUAUUUCCAGGAAUUGAUUAUACAAGAAGUAAUUAGAACUUAGCACAGAUAUUUUCUUCAACUGCUGAUAGUCAUUAGGGUGGAAUAUUCACUAAUUGAAAACUAUUUUUAAAAGUGAGUAGAAAAUAAAAUUUCAGAAGAGGAGAAAAAUGGCAUAAUUUUUUAACUAAAAUUAAAAAGAAAAACAAAUUCAAAGCAAAUAUGAUAGAAGCUUAUAUCCUUAAUACAUAAAGAACUUGCACAAAAGAAAAAUUAAAACCUCAAGAGGUAAGUAGGUAAAGGACAUGAUGAUAGCCAUUACCCAAAGGGAGACUAAAAAUAGAUGAAAUGUUUAACAUUACUAUUAAAAGACAAAUGCAUAUUAAAUAUCUUUGUUGUUGCACACUAAAUAUUACAAAGACAAGCCUCCUAACAUCCAAUGUUCUUGUGAGUGCACCGACACUGCUUCUCUGACAUCUGCAUUAGCAGAAAUUAAUCAGCAAGAGCAAUAAAAUCAUUCCAAAACUUUGACCCAUCAAUCCAACAUUGGGUAAUUUUAUCUAAAAUUUCAAAUCACAAGAAAACAUUAUAUACACAAAAAAUGUUAAUCACACUUCCAUGUAUAGUAGAGAAAAACUAAAAAAGUAAAUAACAUAUACAAUCAGGGGUAUGAUUCAUAGCUUCAUACAUGUUGCACAACCACUACAAGUUAUGAUUUUGAUUAGAAUGUGACAAAAGGGAAAUAUGACAACAUGAAGCAUUAAGUGAAAAGGCUAGGUUAAAAAUCAUGUGUACUACUACAACUCUUUAAAAAUACACACAUUUGAAAACAGACAAAAAAGGCCAGGCACAGGGGCUCACACCUGUAAUCCCAGC